AAAGUAGUCAGAUUGAUCUACUGCUUCAUAAAGCAAACGAAUUAUAGUAGCCAAUGCAUGUGAAAACUUAUCACAAUCAACAGAACCAUCAUUGUUGAACAACUAUUUCUCCUUGUUAUUUGCUGAUAAAAUGAUCACAUAAUAACUAGAAAGGGCUGAAUGCAUCUACAGAGAAACAAGAGAAUAAACUAUAGGCCAGAAGAGGAUGAUUUAGGAGUUUAUUUGAUAGAAUGACCAUAUGGCGGCUCAAAAAGAAGUUGUCACCGCUACUGACCUCCCCCACCAUGCAAGAAACCCAUUUGAGAGUCCAGCAGUUAACUUUAUACAAAGAACUCCUGGUAGUGAUGAGUUUGUGAAGAAAUAAUAUGCUAAGAAUAUGUGGUGCAAUUUUCCAAAAAUAACUUAUCUUGUUACAAAAGAAAUAUAAGAUGAUGACAAUCACUACAGUUCAUUAUUCACCUGCCAGAUGGCUUAAAUUAUGAAGAAAGAUAACAAGAUU
rnacentral:misc_RNA from 1 species